rnacentral:lncRNA from 1 species
CCCUCCAGGGUUUGGAUUUAGAAGUGUCACUGUGACAGCUAGGGCUGUGGCUCCGUGACAGAGGCUUGCCUAGCACGUGAGAGGACCGGGUUUGAUUCUCAGCACCACUUGAAAAACUGAAUAAAGACAUUGUGUGCAUCUACAACUGAAAAUAUCAAAAAGAAAAGAGAGAUCCCUGGCCAGGGAUGAAGGCCAUUUUGAAGGCUCUGGGGUGGAGACCCCAGGCUCUUGCCACCCGGCCUGUCCCGCUCCCCUGGAGGCCUGCAGCCCCUGGGAUCUGCUCUCAGGGGCUGGCAAUCCCACCCCUGGUACAGGAAAGAGAAAGGGAUGACAAUCAGAGCACUGAGGGUGCAGGGUGACCUGUGCACAGUGGGGACAAGCACGCGGCCUCGAGCCCCCGAAGCACUCUCCAGGAAGAAAGCCCCAAGCCAAGACCUGAGGAGGGAGCAGGGAUUGGCCCUCUGUGUCAACUCACAUGCAGAAGCCGGAGGUCAAAGAGCAGGGCGUUUGGGAAAUGAAAACACCAGGUCACAGGAGCAGAGGUGAGAGGGCGGCGAGCCAUGGGCCUAGGUGACCCUUGGGUAGAGAGUGACACCCAGCUGGUGAGCCAGUGGCAGGACACUCAUGCUGAGCAAGUGCCUCUGUUCUCACCUUCUAGUCGUUGAUGUUGCCAAUCAGGAGCUGAGACCAGGCCGGGCCUGGGGAUGCAGACCUGCCAUCCCAGUGGCCCAGGAGGCUGAGGCAGGAGGACCACAAGUUCAAGGCCAGCCUCUGCAACUUAGUGAGGCCCUAAGCAACCUAGGGUCUCUAAAAAAAUUAAAAGGGUUGGGGAUGUGGCUCGGUGGUAGAGCACCUCUGGGUUCAGCCCCUAGCAACAACCACAAAGCACAGAGCAGAUGACAACCCAACACAGGGGUGACAGUCAGCUCAGGACAUGUUUAUGGGCCCUGCUGUCUGCCAGGCCUGUGCGUGAGGAGGUCUGUAGGCUCAGCUCUUGCCCAGAAAAUGCAUAAGGGACAGUGACAUUGCAGGACCACCGAGGACUGUGUUCUGACAGAUAAAUGACAAUUAUCCUAAUUGAGGAAUAAAUGAAGUGGAUUUGUGUGGGAACUCAUCUGCUGGCCCAGCUGCUCUCUCAGAUAUAUGCAUGCCACAUGUAUACACGUACGCCAAACCAGAAACACGUCUACACAUGAAUACACACAACACGCUACAACACAGGACCUGGGGCAGGGGUAUAGUCCCUGUCUUUGGUCAACAGAAAAAAGAAACCUCUGCAGACUCUGUGACUCUUUCUAGUGUCCCUACCCAACGGUCUGAUCCCCGUACCUCUGCUGGGCACAAUGGCAGCUGUGAGCCAUGCUGGGUCACCAGAUGUGGUUAUAGGGUCCUCGAUGUGUGACCACUCUCAAGUAAGACACACCCUAUGUAUAAAAGCCACAAUUUCAAAGACUUAGUAACAACAACAACAUCAAA